rnacentral:rRNA from 1 species
AUUAGCUAGUUGGUGAGGUAACGGCCCACCAAGGCGACGAUGCGUAGCCGACCUGAGAGGGUGAUCGGCCACAUUGGAACUGAGACACGGUCCAGACUCCUACGGGAGGCAGCAGUGGGGAAUAUUGCACAAUGGGGGAAACCCUGAUGCAGCAACGCCGCGUGAGUGAUGAAGGCCUUCGGGUCGUAAAGCUCUUUGAUCAGGGACGAUAAUGACGGUACCUGAAAAACAAGCCACGGCUAACUACGUGCCAGCAGCCGCGGUAAUACGUAGGUGGCGAGCGUUGUCCGGAUUUACUGGGCGUAAAGAAUGCGUAGGUGGAUAUUUAAGUGGGAUGUGAAAUCCCCGGGCUCAACCCGGGAACUGCAUACCAAACUGGAUAUCUGGAGUGCAGGAGAGGAAAGCGGAAUUCCUAGUGUAGCGGUGAAAUGCGUAGAUAUUAGGAGGAACACCAGUGGCGAAGGCGGCUUUCUGGACUGUAACUGACACUGAGGCAUGAAAGCGUGGGGAGCAAACAGGAUUAGAUACCCUGGUAGUCCACGCCGUAAAC